rnacentral:sRNA from 1 species
UCACUGCUGUGGAACCUGUACAGGCACG